rnacentral:rRNA from 1 species
CAGCAGUGGGGAAUAUUGCACAAUGGGCGAAAGCCUGAUGCAGCGACGCCGCGUGAGGGAUGACGGCCUUCGGGUUGUAAACCUCUUUCAGCAGGGACGAAGCGCAAGUGACGGUACCUGCAGAAGAAGCACCGGCUAACUACGUGCCAGCAGCCGCGGUAAUACGUAGGGUGCAAGCGUUGUCCGG